rnacentral:lncRNA from 1 species
GGAGCUAGAUUUCCAUCUUGGAUGACAGAAGGUCAGCUUCGAAAUCUGGUCUCUAUUUCCUUGUUUAAUUGCACAAAAUGCAAAAUCCUCUCUCUUGGUGGGCUGCCCAACCUCAGGUCUCUCUAUAUUAAAGAGAUGCAGAAUUUAGACAUAUUACAAUGCCCUUCCCUACGUGGGCUAAAGAUCAGUAGCUGCAGUAGACUAAGUGAGAUACCUGAGUUCUUGCCUAACCUGACAGUUUUGAAGAUCAAAAGAUGUGCUUCAUUGAAGGCUUUGCCUGUAACUCCAUCUCUGAUGUUCCUGAUACUGGUUGACAAUCUCG